rnacentral:lncRNA from 1 species
CCUUCGCCUAGCCACAGCAGUUCCCUCAUACAGACUCCGCAAGCCAAGAGGCCGUGGAGGCAAAUGCAGCCAGCACACCUCGAACAGCCACCUUGACUGCGGGUGUGUCACCCUAGUCGCCAAGGAAACAUUCGAGGGAAAGCGACAGGCAAUGUGAACAGCCACUUCUCCAUGUAAACGAUACUCUUUCUCUCGGAUGACUCCUACGCCUCGCCACGCCAGCACUCUUGUGCACAAAGAUGCCGCGAAGGCACGUGCAGGUCAGAGGCAAGAAGCAGUGGCACUGGUGUCGACAUUCCCCCAAUUUCUUUUUCUUACACUGAGGCAGCCAGCUCAUCUCGAACAGCCACCUUGACUGUGGGUGUAUCAGUAGAUUCCUGUUGUACAUAUGAUCAUAAUAAACUUCAGUAAACUUGAACUUGAUAAUAAACUUGAAGGCAAAUGGGA